GGCGUGACAGUUUGAGCAUAUUGAAACAAGAGUCCACAGCUGUUCCUCACUGCUAAGUACAGGCAAAAUGUCGACUAAAGAGGAGUAUGACUGCAUAGUAAUCGGGGCCGGCGUCCAGGGCUCCUUCACGGCUUAUCAGCUAGCCAAAAACAACCAGAAGACUCUGCUGCUGGAGCAGUUUGUCCUGCCCCACACCCGGGGGAGCUCCCAUGGCCAGACCCGCAUCAUCCGCAAGGCCUAUGAGCAGGAUUUCUACACCCACAUGAUGGAGGAAUGCUAUGAGCUGUGGGCUCAGCUGGAGAGGGAGGCAAGUGUUAAACUGUACAGACAAACGGGACUCCUGGUGAUGGGACCAGAGAACAGUCAGAGUUACCAGCUGUUUAAGAGCACCCUGCAGAGGAACAAGGUGCCUAUGGUAACGUUGACCCGUGACAACUUCAGCCAGCACAUCCCCCAUGUCAAUCUGGCUGAGGGAGAUGGAGCGGUGGUGGACAUAACAGCUGGAAUUCUGUAUGCUGACCGUGCACUCAAAACUGUACAGGGGCAGUUUCAGAAGCUGGGUGGGAUCAUAAGAGACAAAGAGAAGGUGAUGGACAUCAAGCCUGGCCCUAUUGUGACAGUGUCAAGCUCUGCUGGAGUUUAUCAAGCCAAGAGUGUGGUAAUCACUGCUGGACCUUGGGCUAAUAAACUGCUGACCCACACUGACUUACAGUUGCCACUAGAGGUGGUGAAGAUCAAUGUGUGCUACUGGAAAGAGAAGGUUCCUGGAUCAUACAACGUGAAGCAGCGGUUUCCCUGUUUCUUACUGACUGAGGGUGAGGAGUCCAAAGAACACAUCUAUGGCCUCCCAUCCAACGAGUACCCAGGCCUGGUGAAGAUAUGCUACCAUAUGGGCAGCAAGACAGACCCAGACCAGAGAGACAAGCAGACAGACAGAUCUGAUAUUGACAUCCUCCAGCGCUACAUUUCCCGCUGUUUACCAGGCCUGCUCCCUGAACCUGCAGUGGUGGAGAGUUGCAUGUACACACUAACACCUGACCGUCAUUUUGUGCUGGAUCACCACCCCUCCUACAGUAACAUUGUGAUUGGAGCAGGAUUCUCAGGUCAUGGCUUCAAGUUUGGACCAAUCAUUGGCAAGCUUCUGUGUGAACUCAGCCUGGGACAAGUGCCUUCCUAUGACCUUUCACCUUUCCGAAUCAGACGCUUCCAGGCAAAGACCAAAUCAGCUUUGUAGAGAUGUUUGUGUUGCCAAUUCCACAUGGUGUAAUCAGCUGUGUGACAUCAGGAAAUGCAAUUAUUUAACCAGAAUUAGGGGCUGAAACUAUGCCAGGGAACAUUUUGACACUUCUGGACAGAAGAAGCAGACUUUACACUAAGCUAAGAUAAGCACCAGGUGGUUCUAGCUUCAUGGUUAUCAUACAGAUAGCAUGGGGAGUUGUAUAAAUCUUCUUAUUUAACCUUAGGCAAGAAAGAAAAUAGACAUUUCCCAAAAUGUCAAACUAUUCCUUCCAAAAUCAUAUACAGGGGAAGCCUGGAUUCUGUAAUCUAGAGAGGGGAUUAAAAGGGGAAAAGAUGAUUUUGACUAUAAAUUUCACACAUUCACCCAAAUUAUUGCACAUUUGCUUGAUAAAAAGCUGUGCUGUUUCUGGUAUUUUCAUUCACUCAGAUGGAUUUCCUGAAUAUUCUGAUUCCUUAGAGUAACCUUGUGUUCAUGCACACAUACAGAAUUACUGAAAUGGACACCAGACAGUAAUAGCUGCAUAUGGAGCUAUAGAGAUUGCAUAUCAAGUGUUGACUGUUCUUCAGUAUUGUUUUAAUACUGUGAAGUUCACCAUGGUAUGUGUGGUCCGCAGUGCUAUAUAACAUCUAAUGCACAUAAUGCAGAUUUGCAUUUGAGUGAAUGAAAGAAGAAAAAAUCUGUAGAUUUAGAGGUCUAAUUGUUCUUCAGAACAAAAAGAACUUUAUGUAAUUUACUAGCAAUAAACAAAUACUGCUGUAAUUUUGA